GAAAGCAGGGGAUCGUAAGACCUUGCGCUUUUGGAGUGGCCGAUGCCUGAUUAGCUAGUUGGUGGGGUAAGAGCCUACCAAGGCGACGAUCAGUAGUUGGUUUGAGAGGACGACCAGCCACACUGGGACUGAGACACGGCCCAGACUCCUACGGGAGGCAGCAGUGGGGAAUUUUGGACAAUGGGCGGAAGCCUGAUCCAGCAAUGCCGCGUGAGUGAAGAAGGCCUUCGGGUUGUAAAGCUCUUUCAGUCGAGAAGAAAAGGUUGCGACUAAUAAUCGCAACUUAUGACGGUAUCGACAGAAGAAGCACCGGCUAACUACGUGCCAGCAGCCGCGGUAAUACGUAGGGUGCGAGCGUUAAUCGGAAUUACUGGGCGUAAAGGGUGCGCAGGCGGCUCUGUAAGUCAG
rnacentral:rRNA from 1 species